ACCCGCUGAAUUUAAGCAUAUCAAUAGGCGGAGGAAAAGAAACCAACAGGGCAUUGCUCUAGUAACGGCGAGUGAAGCAGCAAUAGCUCAAAUUUGAAAUCUGGCGUCUUCGGCGUCCGAGUUGUAAUUUGUAGAGGAUGCUUCUGGGCAGCCACCGACCUAAGUUCCUUGGAACAGGACGUCAUAGAGGGUGAGAACCCCGUAUGCGGUCGGAAAGGCACCCUACACGUAGCUCCUUCGACGAGUCGAGUUGUUUGGGAAUGCAGCUCUAAAUGGGAGGUAAAUUUCUUCUAAAGCUAAAUAUUGGCCAGAGACCGAUAGCGCACAAGUAGAGUGAUCGAAAGAUGAAAAGCACUUUGGAAAGAGAGUUAAAAGGCACGUGAAAUUGUUAAAAGGGAAGGGAUUGCAACCAGACUUGCUCGCGGUGUUCCGCCGGUCUUCUGACCGGUCUACUCGCCGCGUUGCAGGCCAGCAUCGUCUGGUGCCGCUGGAUAAGACUUGAGGAAUGUAGCUCCCUCGGGAGUGUUAUAGCCUCUUGUGAUGCAGCGAGCGCCGGGCGAGGUCCGCGCUUCGGCUAGGAUGCUGGCGUAAUGGUCGUAAUCCGCCCGUCUUGAAACACGGACCAAGGAG
rnacentral:rRNA from 1 species